rnacentral:siRNA from 1 species
AACAAGGCGAUGAAGAAAUGGA